rfam:Nicotiana attenuata strain TT chromosome 2, whole genome shotgun sequence.
UGGACAGAUUAUUGUAUUCGACUGUAUUCACGGGGGUGAAACAGGGGAUUACACUAUUUUUAAAUGGAAAGUGAAUCAAUUAACAUAAUAGACUCCU